UGGGGAAUUUUGGGCAAUGGGCGAAAGCCUGACCCAGCAACGCCGCGUGAAGGAUGAAGUAUUUCGGUAUGUAAACUUCGAAAGAAUAGGAAGAAUAAAUGACGGUACUAUUUAUAAGGUCCGGCUAACUACGUGCCAGCAGCCGCGGUAAUACGUAGGGACCAAGCGUUGUUCGGAUUUACUGGGCGUAAAGGGCGCGUAGGCGGCAAUUCAAGUCAUCUGUGAAAUCUCCGGGCUUAACUCGGAACGGUCAGAUGAUACUGCUUUGCUAGAGUGCAGAAGGGGCAAUCGGAAUUCUUGGUGUAGCGGUGAAAUGCGUAGAUAUCAAGAGGAACACCUGAGGUGAAGACGGGUUGCUGGGCUGACACUGACGCUGAGGCGCGAAAGCCAGGGGAGCAAACGGGAUUAGAUACCCCUGUAGUCCCUGAG
rnacentral:rRNA from 1 species